rnacentral:rRNA from 1 species
AACGAACGCUGGCGGCAUGCCUAACACAUGCAAGUCGAACGAGACCUUCGGGUCUAGUGGCGCACGGGUGCGUAACGCGUGGGAACCUGCCCUUAGGUUCGGCAUAACUCCCCGAAAGGGGUGCUAAUACCGGAUAAUGUCUUCGGACCAAAGAUUUAUCGCCUUUGGAUGGGCCCGCGUUGGAUUAGCUCGUUGGUAGGGUAAAAGCCUACCAAGGCGACGAUCCAUAGCUGGUCUGAGAGGAUGAUCAGCCACACUGGGACUGAGACACGGCCCAGACUCCUACGGGAGGCAGCAGUGGGGAAUAUUGGACAAUGGGCGAAGGCCUGAUCCAGCAAGGCCGCGUGAGUGAUGAAGGCCUUAGGGUUGUAAAGCUCUUUUAACCGGGAUGAUAAUGACAGUACCGGGAGAAUAAGCUCCGGCUAACUCCGUG